AUGACAGAGACUGAUGAAGCUCACCAUAUUACAGCUAAAAGAAUCAAGGAGGAAUAUCUGGAAGAUUUUUCAGAUGAUGAACCAUUGAGUAAAGUCUCAAAGAAACAUGAUCCAAAACCUCAGAGAUGGACCAAAACAGCAAACCUGCCAAUGAGACCCAGAAGAGAAAGGAGGGCAACAAUGAAAACGGUUAAUUAUAAAGAGGCUUCCAGUGACAGCUCUGACGAUACACUGACAGAGCAAAAGUCAACCAUGACAGAGACUGGUGAAGCUCACCAUAUUACAGCUAAAAGAAUCAAGGAGGAAUAUCUGGAAGAUACCACUGACGACUCAGAUGACGAAGCAGUGACAGAAAUGAAGACAACCAAGGCAGAGACUGGUGAAGCUCAUGAUUUCACUGCUAUAAUAAUCAAGGAGGAAUAUCUGGAAGACACCAUUGACAACUCAGAUGACGAAGCAGUGACAGGAAUGAAGUCAACCAAGGCAGAGACUAGUGAAGCUCAUGAUUUCACUGCUAUAAGAAUCAAGGAGGAAUAUCUGGAAGACACCACUGACAACUCAGAUGACGAAGCAGUGACAGGAAUGAAGACAACCAAGGCAGAGACUGGUGAAGCUCAUGAUUUCACUGCUAUAAGAAUCAAGGAGGAAUAUCUGGAAGACACCAUUGACAACUCAGAUGACGAAGCAGUGACAGGAAUGAAGACAACCAAGGCAGAGACUGGUGAAGCUCAUGAUAUCACUGCUAUAAGAAUCAAGGAGGAAUAUCUGGAAGACACCACUGACAACUCAGAUGACGAAGCAGUGACAGGAAUGAAGACAACCAAGGCAGAGACUGGUGAAGCUCAUGAUAUCACUGCUAUAAGAAUCAAGGAGGAAUAUCUGGAAGGUAGGACGCCUUUUGUGUGGUUUUCCUGAAAGAAUGAGCACAUUUUCUUCCUUGGGUCAAAAAGUUCCUUUUUGAGUUUCUAAUUGCAAAAUGACAGCUGCAGUUUUUUGAAAGAACAAUAGAAAGAAGCUGCCACAUAAUACACACAAUUUUUUAAUAAUCUUUUAAGUUUUGUUAACAUUGUGAUAGCUAAGAAACCAGUGACAGAGAUCAACUAAAGUCCAACAGCUCCCCAUCUGCUGGUACAAAG
rnacentral:lncRNA from 1 species